GCGGACGUAGCUCAAUUUGGUUAGAGCGUCUGCCUGUCACGCAGAAGGUUGCCGGUUCGAGUCCGGUCGUCCGCGCAA
rnacentral:tRNA from 1 species